AUUGAACGCUGGCGGCAUGCCUUACACAUGCAAGUCGAACGGCAGCGCGGUCUUCGGUCUGUCGGCGAGUGGAGAACGGGUGUGUAAUCCAUCGGAACGUACCCUGGUGUGGAGUAUGACUAGUCGAGAGAUUAGCUAAUACCGCAUACGAGCUGAUGCUGCAUGAGGGGGACCGUAAGGCCGCACGCAACACGAACGGCCGACUCCUGAUUUACUAGUUCGUGGGGUUAAGGUCCACUAAGGCGACGAUCAGUAGCUCGUCUGAGAGGAGGAUCAGCCACACUCGGACUGAGACACGGCCCAGACUCCUACGGGAGGAAGCAGUGGGGAACUUUGGACAAUAGGGGUAACGAAGAUCGCGCAAUGCCGCGUGUGCGAAGGAGGCAUUGGGGUUGGAAAGAACUUUUGUCCGGAAAGAAAACGAGCUGGUUAAAACCACGAGUGGAAGACGGUACCGGAAGAAUAAGGCCCGGCUAACUUCCGG
rnacentral:rRNA from 1 species